rnacentral:piRNA from 1 species
UGGGAGUCAGAAACCCGCAAACACAAGGGC